rnacentral:misc_RNA from 1 species
ACUUUGCACCUUUGAAGAAACAACAAGAAGAGUAAGUAAGGGCAGCCCCAGAAAUAGAGAAUCCCGGCUUUGGACACAACUAAACACAGCUUUGUAGAUGCACAGGUGGCAGUGAAUUACAGACACAGAAAGGCAUCAUUCAUUGGGUAGUAAAAGCAAAAUCUCGUGAAGAGAUGAUGAUGAUGAUGGGUUAUUCUCCAAGUC